rnacentral:rRNA from 1 species
GCGAGGGGCAAGGUGUGCUCGCCUGAAGUCAAUGGUUGGAUACCCGAAGCCGGUCGAUCUAUGCCUGGGCAGGGUGAAGCCUUUCGGAAGAAGGGUGGAGGCCCGAACCAGUACUGAUGUGCAAAUCGUUUGGAUGACCUGGGUAUAGGGGCGAAAGACCAAUCUAGACCGGUAAUAGCUGGUUCCUCUCGAAACUGCUCGCAGGCAGACCUCAGCUGAGACGGGGCAUGCGGUAGAGCACUGAUUGCGUGUUUAGGAAGCGAAAGUUUUCGGCAUGCUGUCAAACUCCGAAUGUGUGUCCGUUGUAGAAGCUGGGCAGUGAGGGCAUCGGGGUAAGCUUGAUGUCCAUAAGGAAAACAAACCAGACCAAAGUUAAGGUCCCUAAGUAACAGCUAAGUGUUAAAGAACAAAUAGUGUUUAACAGCAUAGACAGCUGGAAGGUUGGCUUAGAGGCAGCCAUCCUUUAAAGAGUUCGUAACAGAUCACCAGUCAAGUUCUUGAGCCUAGAAAAUGGACGGGACUAAGUUGUUCACCGAUACUUUGGGCCACCGAAAGGUGAUGCGGUAGAGAGGCGUCGUGCGCGGGUGGAAGUGGGGCCGUGAGGUCCUGUGGACCGCGUUCGAAUGAUAAUCAUGGAAAGAGUAGUAGCGUAGAUGGGUGAGAAUCCCAUCCGCCGGAGGGGCUAGGGUUCCUCGACGAUGUUCAUCAGUCGAGGGUUAGUCGGUCCUAAGGUUCCCCCUAACAGGAGGAAUCGAAAGGGAAGCAGGUUAAAAUUCCUGCACCAAUUCAUAUUUUGUCCAGUUCCUGACACAUCGGGUCUUGUGGAGCACUCUUGUCGGAGUGUUGCCUUGAGCGAUAAAUUUGUGGAGUACCGUAAUGGUGAGAAGCAAACUAAGCUUUUGGGAGGCGGAGUAUUUCGCUUCUGCGUUAGCCUGGUGUCCGUGAAAAGGGAGCUGGAGCCGUAUGAGUUGUCCGUACCGAGAUCUGACACAGGUGCCCCUAGGUGAGUAGCCUAAGGCGUCGCGGCAGAAUCCGGGCGAGGGAAUUCGGCAAAUUAGCCCCGUACCUUUGGUAUAAGGGGUGCCAGCUCUGAAGAGAGCUGGUCGCAGUGACUAGGGAGCUCCGACUGUUUAUUAAAAACACAGGUGGCUGCUAGUCCGUAAGGAUGUGUAUAGCCGCUGAAUCCUGCCCAGUGGCAGUAUCUGAAACCAGGUUUCAACCUGACGAAGGACUGCUAAACGGCGGGGGUAACUAUGACCCUCUUAAGGUAGCGUAAUACCUUGUCGCUUAAUUGGCGACUUGCACGAACGGCCUAACGAGAGCUCUACUGUCCCCGCCCGGAGCCCGAUGAAAUUGACUUACUGGCGCACAGUCCAGUACGUCCCAGCCGCAAGCGAAGACCCCGUGGAGCUUUACUGCAACCUGCCGUUGUGGCACGAGUUGUUAUGUGUAGCGUAGACGGGAGACAUUACACAGGUGCGAGCGCUAGCUCGUCGCCGAGUCACCGAUGAAACACCGUCCUUUUCGAUUCGUCCCACUCACCUCUUCGGAGGAACCCCGGUAGGCGGGCAGUUUGGGUGGGGCGCCACUCCCUCGAAAAAAUAACAAGGGAGCCCAAAGGUCAGCUUAGGUAGGUCAGGAAUCUACCGUUAAGUGCAAGGGCAAAAGCUGGCUUGACGUGGUUUGGCAACACAACAAACCACGAUGUGAAAGCAGGGCCUAGCGAACCAACCAGCGCCGUUAGUAGGUGCGGUUGAUAACAGAAAAGUUACCCCGGGGAUAACUGAGUUGUCUGGAGCAAGAGCCCACAUCGACCUCCAGGCUUGCUACUUCGAUGUCGUCUCUUCCUAUCCUGGGUGUGCAGAAGCACCCAAGGGUGGGGUUGUUCGCCCAUUAAAAGGGAUCGUGAGAUGGGUUUAGACCGUCGUGAGACAGGUUUGUUGCUAUGUGCUGGGACUGUCCAAUGCCUGAGGGGAAGGAUCCUCUAGUACGAGAGGAACGAGGGUUCGCAGCCACUAGUUUACCAGUUGUCUGACAAGGCACCGCUGGGCAGCCACGCUGUAAGGGAUAAGAGCUGAAAGCAUCUAAGCUCGAAACCCGCCUCAAAACGAGGCAUUAUGACACUUAU